rnacentral:rRNA from 1 species
UACGUAGGGCGCAAGCGUUAUCCGGAAUUAUUGGUCGUAAAGAGCUCGUAGGCGGUUUGUCGCGUCUGCCGUGAAAGUCCGGGGCUCAACUCCGGAUCUGCGGUGGGUACGGGCAGACUAGAGUGAUGUAGGGGAGACUGGAAUUCCUGGUGUAGCGGUGAAAUGCGCAGAUAUCAGGAGGAACACCGAUGGCGAAGGCAGGUCUCUGGGCUGUAACUGACGCUGAGGAGCGAAAGCGUGGGGAGCAAACAGG